rnacentral:rRNA from 1 species
UACGUAGGCAGCAAGCGUUGUUCGGAAUUACUGGGCGUAAAGCGUGCGCAGGCGGCUUCUCAAGUCAGGGGUGAAAGCCCAGAGCUCAACUCUGGAAUUGCCUUUGAGACUGAGUGGCUUGAGUACGGGAGAGGUGAGUGGAAUUCCCAGUGUAGAGGUGAAAUUCGUAGAUAUUGGGAAGAACACCGGUGGCGAAGGCGGCUCACUGGCCCGUAACUGACGCUCAUGCACGACAGCGUGGGGAUCAAACAGG